AAAAUUGUGAAAUGUAAGUCGCUCUGGAUAAGAGCGUCUGCUAAAUGACAAAUA
rfam:Salmo salar isolate Sally breed double haploid chromosome ssa17, whole genome shotgun sequence.